AGCGAACGCUGGCGGAAUGCUUAACACAUGCAAGUCUCACGGGCAGCAAUGCCAGUGGCGGACGGGUGAGUAACGCGUAGGAAUGUGUCCUGUGGUGGGGGAUAACGUCGGGAAACUGGCGCUAAUACCGCAUAUGUCCUGAGGGGCAAAGCAGCAAUGCGCCAUUGGAGCAGCCUGCGUCCGAUUAGCUUGUUGGUGGGGUAAAGGCUUACCAAGGCGACGAUCGGUAGCUGGUCUGAGAGGAUGAUCAGCCACACUGGAACUGAGACACGGUCCAGACUCCUACGGGAGGCAGCAGUGGGGAAUAUGGGACAAUGGGCGAAAGCCUGAUCCAGCAAUUCCGCGUGGGUGAAGAAGGUCUUCGGAUUGUAAAGCCCUUUCGACGGGGACGAUGAUGACGGUACCCGUAGAAGAAGCCCCGGCUAACUUCGUGCCAGCAGCCGCCGUAAGAC
rnacentral:rRNA from 1 species